GGAUAUAAGGGUGAUCUGAAUACGACAUCUCUCACCCCAUUGAUCACCAGUGUUGAUUCAGCUGGUCUGGCCUAUGUGGGUGUUCCCUUCCUACUUCAGUGCUCCAUGUGCAAUGUGCAUUCCUCCUGAAGCUGCAUGCUGGGUCAAAGAGGAUGACCUUCCCCCAAUAGAGGACUAGUCUUCGGUCAAGGGUAUACAAGUAGUUGUGCUCCCUGCUAGAACCUCCAAACAAGAUCUAGUCGUCCAACUGUCCUAGUGCAUUGUCUUCAGAUGUGUUGUCCCCAGUGUGAAUACAUCUUACUUUUUUGUUGUGUGACAAAAUUUCCUA
rnacentral:snRNA from 1 species